GGAAGAGAAAGAGAGAGAGAGAGAGAGAGAGAGAGGGAGGGAGAGAGGGAGAGCGAUGAGGGAGUGAGACUCGGAAUAAAAGAGAAAAGAGGACAGAAUUGAUGUUAUGUGCGAUACACAGCUCAAUCCAUCAAUCUCGGGCUGUCAGUGGGGGACCUAGAGCGGUCGAGAAAGCGCUGCAACACAGUCAGAGAGACACAACUCUGCUCCUCCUCUCUCUCUUUCUCUCUCUCCUUCCUUUUCUCCUCUC